rnacentral:tRNA from 1 species
GGAUGUAUAACUCAGUGCCAGAAUGCCUGCUUAGCAUGCACGAGGUCCUGGGUUCAAUCCCCAGUACCUCUU